rnacentral:siRNA from 1 species
AUAAAAUUUUGCAGAUCAAUUCUA